CCUCAAGGUUUUUAUUAUUGAAACAAAAAACACAUUUAUUGGUCUACAAUAGCGGAGGUUUUAAGGAACUGAAGCAUCUUAGCAUAGAAAGAGAAUGGUCAGGUAUUCAGAAGUAAGUGUGAAAAGAGACAAACUGAUGUCAAAAACAAUAUCAGAAAACAGUCAGGCUUGUAUCUGCCAUGGAGAAUGAGUGCAAAGAAUAUAAUAGAGUGAAAGAAAUCUGAAGUCUACUAGGGAAACAUAGGAAGCUUUCUAACAUACCAUGGGAAGGAAGAGCUAGGCUGGUGUCACUACAAGGUGUAAAAUGGAUUUAUAAGGCUCUUUGUGACUGAAAGCUGAUCAUCUCUGAAAAGACUUACCCUCAUCGCUCUUUCAGAUAGCGAUGACAGAGACGUGCUGUUUCUGCUUUCUCAUCCUCACUACUGACAGCAGACCAGGCCUAAAAUUACUAGUGUGUUGGAUUAUUUGUGUGAGUGAGAAGCUUUCUUUUGAUCACUGGCUAAAGUGUUAUAGAAGGGAAAAGAAGUUAGAAACCAGAUGACAAAAAGCUGUACCAUGGCACAGGUACACAAAGAUUUUAUAAGGCAACACUCUGUACAAAGACUAAUGGUGCUACAGAUCAAACAUUUAAAGCCACAAACAAAUGAAGACUAUUGCACAUGAUGUGCAUCCAAAUGAAUCUACUCUUUAUUCCUACAUAUUCCAACGUAUUGAGGGGGUUGCAAAUAUCAAAUAUGGAAGAAAGUGACAGAGAGUUCACAUUUUGUGCAGCCCUCAGGUCACUUUGCUGCUUUGUGACAUCCUCACUCUUCCUCUUCUAUCUUCUUCCCAUGCAUGUCCCGGCUCUUCACUCGGAGCUUGUUGACCUGUGACUCUGCAAUAUCAGCCCGUUCCUCGGCUUCCUCCAGCUCGUGCUGGAUCUUGCGGAACUUGGAGAGGUUGACAUUGGAGAGCUCCUC